UAUAACGUUAUACAAAUGAAAUAAUUCUAGCAUUAGAAAACAAACAAUACUGCACAGCCCUCUUUAUGGACAUCGAGAAAGCAUUUGAUAUAAUAAACCACGAAUGUCUACUUCAAUCAAUCAGAAAACAAUUCCGGGAGCAGAUAUACCAUUUAAUUAAAUCUUACUUAAGCAGCAGAACCUUCGCAGUAAAAAUUAAAGACACAUACUCUGAAGUUAAAGACAUCAAGGCAGGGGUUCAGCAAGGAAGCGUCUUAGGAGCAAUUCUAUACACACUAUACACGGCCAACAUACCAACAACUUCUAAUAGCAAGAUACUGACAUUCGCGGAAGACACAGCGGUACUGUUCAGGCACACUGACCCUGCAGCAGGAGUCACAUCACUACAAGGACAUAUCACAAAAAUAGAAAAGUGGCUUCAAGUUAAUCAUAUUAAAGCAAACCCCGAUAAAUGCAACCACAUUACAUUCACACUCCGAAAACAGAUACCUCCAAACAUUAUAUUGAGCGGCACGCACAUAAUACAAACAAGGCAAGUCAAAUACCUAGGACUCCACUUAGAUACACGAUUCACAUGGAAACAGCAUAUUAAAUCUAUAAUAGACAAAAUACAAUUAGCAAGGCGACAAAUGUAUUGGUUAACAAGUCGAAAAUCCAAACUAAGCAUAGAAAACAAACUAAAAAUAUACAAAACGAUCAUAAAACCAAUUUGGACGUACGGAAUACCACUUUCGGGAACGGCAGCAAUGAGCCAUAUAAGCAAAAUAGAGAUAGUACAAGCUAAAAUUCUUAGAACAAUAGUAAACGCCCCAUGGUACGUUAGAAACGAGGACAUACGGAAGGACGACAACAUACGACGAUAAUACAAACAAAGAAUAGAAACACACACAAACUAGCUGCUAGCUGCGGAAACGAUCAACACUUCAAUCACGGAAAGAAGACUGAAAAGGAAACACCCAACAGACCUCACAAACGACACAACCUAACAAACACGAAAAUGGUAUCCCGCUGGGGGUAGCCACCCACAUGAUAAUCAAACAGUUAAAAAAUUCUACCAAAUGUCCAAAUUGGACGAAUUGUGAAUGAAAAGAAUUAAAUAGAAAAAAAACCGAUAUUUCUUAGGCAAUCUGUCCACGAUACUACAUAUCUGACUUUAAAAUAUGAACAAAAUCAGUUUAAAAAUUCAGGACACUUUAAAUACCUGUUUCUAAGAGAACAGAUUUUUGCAACAGCAAAAAAUUUGACCUUGUUAAUCAUGUUCAGUGUAGAGGUUAUUCGAUAUGUAAACAGAGAAAACACGUAGAUAAAUUGUAAGGUAAAAAAUAUAUUUACAUAGAAGUGUAAUUAUAAGUAAGAAUACAAUUUGAGCUGGUCCAGGUCCGCACGCUAGCUGUGUUACCCAAUAACUGAAAACCCCAAAGCCAACAUCGCCUGUCUACUGUUUAUGGCCUGACUUUGUCGCAGUUUUUUGUCUACGCGCUGUCAAUGGCUUCAGUGCUUGAGAAAACUAAAAAGACCAGAUGUAGAGUUUUCUUAGAAGUGGUAACCAUUUCAACAUUCAGGAAAUUUGGCGUUCCACUUUUUUGACAAAUAAAUAUUUUAACACGCUGUACAUAGUAGUAGCAAUAUGCUUCUGUUAAUAAAUUUUUAAGGACUAACGAGUGAUGGCUAAAAUCUUCUGGAAGUUAAUCAGAAGUGUGUCCUUGUCAACAUAUACCAAGGCCCAAGGUAUUGGUGCUGGCUUCCCUUUUGUUAGUAUUUAUUUGACUAUGUAAUUUUAUAUAUGUACUAUUUGAUCCGCUUCAAUGUGAUUUCGGCCUAUUUUCAAGAAGGAAAGGGGAAAUGUAACCAACGCCAUGUCUCCCUCCUUUUUAUCGAUUUACUUUCGCGUUUCGUCUCAAAAUUAUGUUACAUUUUGCUUGUUACAGUACCACGCCAAAAGAAUUUACUUAUAAUUCUCAAUGAGAGUUGAAAAUAGUUCGGUCGGGUAAUAAUAACUCCAUUUGAUUUUAGGAUUGAGUUCGACUCUAUUUUAUUUUGAAUUUCUUGAAUUUCCUUAUAAGAUCUCGAGUAUGUUGCUGGUCCGUGAUUGAAUAUUGCUUUUUUCACUAUGAAGUGAUAUGUGUCAUCAACGGCAUCAAAAGACACAAUGAGGAACCGAACGCACAAGACAAGAUAGAUAGUUUAUUUUCUAACUGUGAGCACAGGAACUACUACAAACUUAAUCCUUAAAGAACAGGGCACAGUAGAUAAUUAUUAUUAUUAAAUAAUUUCCAUUGAAAUACUUUUUACUAUCAACUCAGCAUAUGUAUAAAUAUAUGUAUAUAGAUGAAAUGAAUGUAAAUGAAUUUUAGAGAAUUUUAAAGAAUGCUUUACACUGUUUCGGUAAAGUUAUAAUUCAGUCCUAAGCGGUACAAAGUAAAGUGUAUAAUUUAUUUAUUUUAAUUUACAAUGAAGAACGCAAGAUUAGUCAUUAGAUCGCUUAUGCAAAUAAUAAAUUUUCAUUAUUUUUAAAAAUGCAAUAAUUAUUUUAAGUUUAACUGGGAAUUGUCAAGAUUGAUAGCUACUUCGUUUAUGAUUAAUAAAUAUUGAUUGGGUGAAACUAUAGAACCGUAACGUCUUUUCCGAUUUCAAUGACUUUUGAAUAUGUUGUCAAGUACAUGAUUGCGAACAACUUCCUUCUUUAACUAUCUAAGAAAUCUAUCUAUAUCAUUACAAUGAAUUCUGUUUAUAAAUUACAUAUCAUAUAAUUAUAUAAUGACUCAUUGAAAACCAGCUUUCAUUUUUUGUUGAUAGUAUAGUAAGAAAAUGUCAAGUUCGAACGCUUGUAACGAUUGCCUGAGUUGCGUCAUCCUUGGUUUCAGGAAAAGAUAGGGAAGUCACUCAAGGGUGUCGCGGCUUCGAUGUCUUUCGCAGCUGCGACGCGGAGGCCACUCGGUUGUUCUUUGAACAAUCGUCAACGUGGACGAACGUCAAAGCGAAACCACGCGAAUUCGGCAUUUCCGAUAAUACGGAACACUGUAAACGCGACUGCGUUGAAUUCGUUCGAUUACUUCCUAGCAGUAUCUAUAAACAGUGAACUUAAGGCCCCAUACACAACUGCAUACGCUAGGUUGUAAGAAAUAAUAGCUAUAUACGUAUGUAGCGGCACAUGAGUCAGAGGACGAUGCAAAUCGAGAGCGACUCAUAUUAUUGUUUUGCCUCGUGACACUGACACAAUCUUGACGUACAUGUAACGUCAACAAAUAUCUCCAACAGACUCAGGAAACCUGAACCGCCUUGCACACGACACCGACUCCCAAAACAAAGGAAUAUGAAUUCGGUCCAUAGGCAUAAGAUAAACGAACAUCUAGAAGGGUUGAGUCUUGAUCGAGGCUUCAGUCUUUCGGUAACGGUCUAAUCGCACACUUGUAAUCCUAUUAUAAAAUAAAGGUACCUCGAACUCUGGUUCAAGAACCCAACAUUUUUUUAUUCUUAUUUUCCCAUUAUUUUUACGUGACAUUUUGGCGAUCCUGCCAGGAUCCAUUCGCUUCAGUGUAAACGAAAUUACGAUUUCGGUCUACGAACAUUAUUGAAGAUCGAAGGAUUCGAACUACUUGUGUUAUGAACUUUGCUGCCAAUAAUUUACCACAGUGGACAAAAUCAACGGGACCACUGUCAGCAUAGAACAAAUCAACAGAACGAGUUUGACACUCAAACAACACCUUUGAACGCGCCACAGAGGAAAACACCGCAAGGGAACCUCAUUCUACGAACUUACGUAUCAAGGUGAGAAAAGUCUGGAUUCUUUUAAACAAUAUAGAACGCGAAAAGUUAGUUUCUCUAGUAACUCUAGCGAAGUGACAAUAUUCACUAUGAACAACAAGAAAGACUCAAAAGCCGAGACAAGUUUACCCUCUACAAGUGGAGUCCAAAAUAAAACGGGAUCACUCGAUUCCUCUACCAGAGCAAUUUUAUUAGACUUAAUACAGAGACAGAACGAAGAAUUUCGACAACAAUUUAACGAAAUAAAGAAUGCUUUAAAAUUAGCGAACGAAGGAAAAUAGAAAACGCGCUAACGAAAUGGAAAUAUUAGGUAGAAACCUCUCUUGUGUUAAACUACCACAAAUAAACGUAAAAUCAACUGAAUUCGGUUCUAUGAUGACUGACGAUGACGAUACUAAUCCACCUCCACCUAUGCCACAAAAACCACCAACAUAUGUCCAACCAUCCAAUCCAACAGCUGCAAACUCUGGAAAUCUAAAAGCUGUUUAGUAUCUCCGAUACUAACCGGAGAAGACGAUAUAGGCGUAGAAGAUUUUAUUCGUGAAAUAAAAGAAAUGAGAAUGAUGUGUAGCGAACAAACGUUAUUAUUAAAAAUGAUCAAAAUAGAGAAAAUUGUAGGAAAAGCCGCAAUGACAAUUCGCAAUAUCCAUAUUAACGAAUUCGGAACUCUGUACGAAGGAUUAAGACGUAACAUAGCUACUCAAGCAUCAGUAAGAGAACACCAAGAUCAGUUAAGAGUGAUAAAGAGUGACCGAAAGCGUGCAAAAUUAUAACAUUAGAUUUCGACGUGUUUUCAACAAACUUCAAUACAGCAUUACCAAUGAAUAUAAAGACGAACUAACUCGAUGAGCGAUGAACGAUCGACUAUACAUGGUCUCUGUGAUAGACUAUGUAAGAGGCCUUCGUUCAGAAAUAGGAUAAGUGCUAUUGGUUAAUUCCCGCCCCCCCCCCAAACAUCAUCGAUGCAGAAAAAAAGGCAAUGGACGUGGAAAAAUACUUUCGCGAAGACAACGCUCGCAGACGGAUGACACGACAAACAACCACUCCACCAUCUUAUCGUAACCAGACGUCUCGUCCAGUAGGUAACCGCUUCACGAUUACAAGUAACAUGAAUAACAAAACUCCACCCACACAAAACAUUCAACCAAGAAUGAAUAAUUUUACAAAGCUUGAAAAUCGACCAUUAAACGAAAGGCCACAAACGAAAUGUUUCAAAUGCAAUCGAUUGGGACACCUUGCCAAUCAAUGCCAAAAUUUUCGAAUACCGCCUCAAACAAAAGCCCCUCCAGGAAUAAACCACAUUCAAGAACAAUCAGAAUUAACAAUGCUACCUCAGGAAGAUUAUCCACAAUACGACUACAAUUACCAGGACGACCAGGAUUGCGAUUUUUCGUUGACUCGGGAGCAGGAAUCAACUUGCUUAAACGAGGAUGCUACCCAGGAGGAACAAUAAUACCAGACACAUAAAAAUUCUCCAUGGGACAUUCCAAAUACGAAUCCAAUUCCAAAAUUAAACUAAAUUUAUUGAACAAAGAGAUAGAAUUUGCCUUAGUAGAUGAUAAUUUCCCUAUCAUAGAAGACGGCAUAUUAGGCUUACCCGCUUUAAAUCAAUAUCGAUUCGAACUCUCCAAUAAAACAUUAAAAUUAGAUAAUAAUACCCUUCUGCUGCAGCAAGAACCAACCCUCGCAUCAGGAGAAAUCGUUCAAAAAAUUGUAUACUUCGAAGGAAAGCCAACGCCAGUAUGCUUUAUCAAUGGUGAGUAUUUCUUGUGGCCACCUUCACCCACUAUCCACUUCACAUCGUUAUUCUACAUACGGAAGGCAAGAUUGACAUCGAGUUCGAAAGACAGACCGCAGAAAUCUGGUCUCUGCUAUUACCACGAGACCUUUUGAGACCGCGCAAGGAAGUGCCGGGCCCCUUGCAACUGGACCCAGUGAAACGAGACCAGCCGUCCGUAAACGCGGCAUGUGGCGAUGGCUUUAGUAUCCCGUCGCAUUUUCGUGACGGACAGGGCACCAAGGAUCUCUUUCCUCGUGAACACCGGUGUCAAUAUAAACGUAUACCCGUGCAACAAACUACGCGGAUCCGCGAAUAAAGAUACGUACGAGCUGUUCGCGGCGAUUCGAAUGGUCGAAGCAAACCGAAAACGCCUUUUGCGAGUCGAAACGCGUCCUCUCUGACGCCACAAUGUUAGUGUUACGACCGGCAUACUUCAAAUCCGAUGGACUGACGAUGGAGAUAAAGAUGUGGCGGCACUCGGCGACAAUGUAUAUCGCUAAAGUGUCUAAUGAAUCAUCAACAUCCCAACGGUCCUUCCACCGAAGGGUCUAGAAGAAAGAGCACGUGGCAACGGCCGCGGACGCCUAGCAAAUGCAUUGACGGUGGGGAUGUUGAGGAAUGACAAAAGAAAGUAAUCGGAUCCGAUCGAAAGUCAAAUCAUAAGAGCUUCAGUCUUGGAAAGUCACUCCUAGAGUUCGGAAGUGGAUUGUAAAGUGGAUUGUUGUUAGAAAAAAAAAGUUUCUUUUUUUUAUUUUUUACCUCAAAUUUCUUUUUUUAUUUUGUUAUUUUACGUGACAUUAGCGCAUCCGGUAUUGGCAACAGCGCGUGAACGACAAAUGGCAGCCGCUAGGAUUCGUUAUAAAAUCUUUGUCUCCCGCGCGAUUAAUUCUGUAUUUAGAAUAAUUUUAAAUAUAUUUGACAAUAUCAAGUAUCAA